rnacentral:tRNA from 1 species
GAGGGUGUAGCCCAGUGGUAGGGCUGCAGGCUUAGCCUGCAUGUGGUCCUCGGUUCAAUCCCCAGUACCUCCC